rnacentral:rRNA from 1 species
UACAGAGGGUGCAAGCGUUAAUCGGAAUUCCUGGGCGUAAAGGGUGCGUAGGUGGGCGCAUAAGUCGGAUGUGAAAUCCCUGGGCUUAACCUAGGAACUGCAUUCGAUACUGUGAGUCUAGAGUAUGGUAGAGGCAAGUGGAAUUUCCGGUGUAGCGGUGAAAUGCGUAGAUAUCGGAAGGAACAUCAGUGGCGAAGGCGACUUACUGGACUGAUACUGACACUGAGGCACGAAAGCGUGGGGAGCAAACAGG